AGGAUCAUUAGUGAAUAUAGGACGUCCAACUUAACUUGGAGUCCGAACUCUCACUUUCUAACCCUGUGCACUUGUUUGGGAUAGUAACUCUCGCAAGAGAGCGAACUCCUAUUCACUUAUAAACACAAAGUCUAUGAAUGUAUUAAAUUUUAUAACAAAAUAAAACUUUCAACAACGGAUCUCUUGGCUCUCGCAUCGAUGAAGAACGCAGCGAAAUGCGAUAAGUAAUGUGAAUUGCAGAAUUCAGUGAAUCAUCGAAUCUUUGAACGCACCUUGCGCUCCAUGGUAUUCCGUGGAGCAUGCCUGUUUGAGUGUCAUGAAUACUUCAACCCUCCUCUUUCUUAAUGAUUGAAGAGGUGUUUGGUUUCUGAGCGCUGCUGGCCUUUACGGUCUAGCUCGUUCGUAAUGCAUUAGCAUCCGCAAUCGAACUUCGGAUUGACUUGGCGUAAUAGACUAUUCGCUGAGGAAUUCUAGUCUUCGGACUAGAGCCGGGUUGGGUUAAAGGAAGCUUCUAAUCAGAAUGUCUACAUUUUAAGAUUAGAUCUCAAAUCAGGUAGGACUACCCGCUGAACUUAAG
rnacentral:rRNA from 1 species